GACGAACGCUGGCGGCGUGCUUAACACAUGCAAGUCGAACGAAGUGGCGAACGGGUGAGUAACGCGUAAUCAACCUGCCCUUCAGGGGGGAACAACAGUUGGAAACGACUGCUAAUACCGCAUACUGAAGAACGAGAUUGCGGCGGAUUAGCUAGUUGGAGGGGUAACGGCCCACCAAGGCGAGGAUCAGGCGCCGGGCUGGGAGGAUGAACGGCCAAAUUGGGAACGAGAAACGGCCCAGACUCCGACGGGAGGCAGCAGUGGGGAAUCUUCCGCAAUGGACGAAAGGCUGACGGAGCAACGCCGCGGGAGUUAUGACGGCCUUCGGGUUGUAAAGCUCUGUUAAGCGGGAAGCGGUACCGGAAUAGAAAGCCACGGCUAACUACGUGCCAGCAGCCGCGGUAAUUC
rnacentral:rRNA from 1 species